rfam:Angomonas deanei Cont14770, whole genome shotgun sequence.
AGUUGUUGUCGGUUGGGUGAAUAAAACUUUAUUUAUUACUCCCUAUCUCGCAACAUCGAGAUUU